rnacentral:rRNA from 1 species
AUUGAACGCUGGCGGCAGGCUUAACACAUGCAAGUCGAACGGUAACAGGGAGAAACUGUUUAUCUGUGACGAGUGGCGGACGGGUGAGUAAUGCUUGGGAAUCUGCCUUAUGGAGGGGGAUAACCACUGGAAACGGUGGAUAAUACCGCGUAAUAUCUUCGGAUUAAAGUGUGGGACUUUCGAGCCACACGCCAUAAGAUGAGCCCAAGUGAGAUUAGGUUGUUGGUGAGGUAAUGGCUCACCAAGCUUACGAUCUCUAGCUGGUUUGAGAGGAUGACCAGCCACACUGGGACUGAGACACGGCCCAGACUCCUACGGGAGGCAGCAGUGGGGAAUAUUGCACAAUGGGCGCAAGCCUGAUGCAGCCAUGCCGCGUGAAUGAAGAAGGCCUUAGGGUUGUAAAGUUCUUUCAUUAGUGAGAAAGCGGUUAUAUUUAAUAGGUGUAACCAUUGAUGUUAGCUAAAGAAGAAGCACCGGCUAACUCCGUGCCAGCAGCCGCGGUAAUACGGAGGGUGCGAGCGUUAAUCGGAAUGACUGGGCGUAAAGGGCACGCAGGCGGUUAUUUAAGUCAGAUGUGAAAGCCCCGAGCUUAACUUGGGAAUUGCAUUUGAUACUGGGUAACUAGAGUCCUCUAGGGAGGGGUAGAAUUCCAUGUGUAGCGGUGAAAUGCGUAGAGAUGUGGAGGAAUACCGAAGGCGAAGGCAGCCCCUUGGAGAGAGACUGACGCUCAUGUGCGAAAGCGUGGGUAGCAAACAGG